rnacentral:lncRNA from 1 species
GUUACUUUCUAGUUUGUUUACCUAUUCAUAUGAGAACUACUUAAAACAGUGCUAGUAUUUGCCAAAAACUUGUUUGUACUUCCAUUAGUGACUGAAUGUUAGUGUGAUUUUUUGUGGUUAUUGACAGCAUUAGUACUAACAUAUUAUACCGAUUAAAUGGGACACUAAGAUUGUUGUAUUAUAUUAUAAAACAAUAACAGUGCAAGCUUUCGCUUUUGUUUUAAUGUUUUUGUUUUCUUUACUUCUAUUCUGUUCUAAAUUCUCUCGAGCAAUCUGAUUUUUUUGUAAUGAGUACUACUGUCUCGGCACAGGUGGAUAAUCGUGGGUGUAUUGAUCUUAGUGGUCUGUUGAAAGUUUCGACAGGUUAUGCGGAAACUGGUAUGCUUAGCCUCCUCUGUACAUCAUCAAAAAAACGCUGGAUAAUAGAAAUCCUAAAAUGUAAUUGUUUUCCGCUGGAUGACACUAUAAUGCCCUUGCAUGGCUGCAUAUGCAUAAAAAACUUAGGGUUAAGUCAUCCAGCGGUUUUUUUUUCUGGUGGUAGUAUACCCUGACAUACAAAUGUCAGGGACCCGGACCCAUGUGCUAUACUGAUGCAUGUAUUUUUCCUACAAGACCCAAAUAUUUAGGAACCACGUUUGAAUAUUCUAUGUAAAUUUAUUUGAGGGAAUAAGAUGCUAUUGAUCAUCUGUAAAUUCAUACAGUAUAAGUUAUCUUUCUUAAAAUCUAUCAUUAUCGCAGAUUGUGUUUGCAAAAUUAUACUUCAUAGUCAAUUGAUGUCUUUAUUUCUACAGUGUCACUGUCUGUCUUAUCGAACGAAAAAACUGUCUUUAGCGAGGAGUCCCAAACUGAGAAAAUGAUGAUAAGAGUUGCAACUGAGGUAGUAACUUGUCUUUCUUUAUCUUUUAUGUUUUUCCAUUUACAUUUGACCAUUCAGUUAAAAAUAUAUGGUUAUAUUUGGAGAGUUCUUUAAACCUACACUUGAUCUUCUUUAUCUUUUGUACUCAGAUACCUGAGAAGUGUUUUACUGGCUCUCAACUGGAAAAUGUUGUGUUUGAAAUUGUCAAAUCUGAUGGUGUUAUCGACGAAACAGUAAACGAUAAUGAGAAGGGUGAUAUGUCCCAUGCUCUAGUAUUGAAGUCGGACUCAACAGAUUUAGAUGAUUCUGUGAAAUAUAGCUUUCGUCAUGGCUGAUGCCCUGUUUGUGCUAUUCCGCUUCCUCAGAUAGAAGGAAGUUUCUCCUUUCUUGCUGCACAUUCUCGCUACCCGAAGCUUAAUGUGUGACCAUAACGGUCUGCAAAUUCUUUCUUGCAAAUUUUGUUAACAUAAUCAUGACCCCUAUACUGAUAGCUGUCAUCUUUCUGUAGGUGCUUGUAGAGAAAGCUCCUGAAAUCGUGUAUGACAGUAGCCAGCCUCAGUGUACUCAUGAAGAUAAUUUAUUCCUUGAGAAGCCAUCCAAUAUUCCAAUUUGGAAACUCCAAAAGUUCAGCAUGACGAUUGAUCAAUAGAGCUGGUAACAAGCCCGGAAUCUGCCUAGGACAUAGAAACUAUAGCUGGAAGCCUUAACAACGAACAAAAUGUAAGGUGCCAUGUAUACGGUGAAACUGUGCAGGACCCUUUUAUUACUGUGAAUAAGAAUAGAAACUAAAAAAGGAUGUGUAGUGACUAGUGAUUGUAUAUGUUAUAUGUUCUUUUUAUUUAAGAAUGUCAAUGGAUAUCUUAUAUCACCUGCAAGCCUUCUAAGGAACCACAUGAGUAUAUUUUUUAUUAAUACUGUAUUAUGAUGAUAGGUUUAUCUUAUAGCCGGACUUCUACUAUCUUCGCAAGUCUUUUCUUUGUUUGAGGUGUGCCUCUCGCCUUGCAGGAACUUAUGGACAAGAUUCUGAAGUAUGCAACGUACAUUGGAGAGCAUGAGAAAACGAUUAAAAUGCUCAAUAGCCAGCGAGAGGCAUUUGAGCAAGCCCUGGCCAAAAUGCAAGGUAAAGUGCCACAACUUUAGAUAAUUUAAGUUACAUAAUUUAGAAGAUUUUUGAUAUAGAUUUGGCAAAUUGGGAUGAUUUGGAGAACCUGGCUCAGGAAUUUCUCCCUGAUUUUUUUUUUUCUUGUGAUGAUGAAAAGGAAAGCAAAGACCUAGCAGCAAAUGCAAAAUAAGAGCAGCGGAGUGUUGGGGGGAAGGAAAUGCUUUGAAGCUGGCUAUUCUUCGGAUCAUAGUGGUGACAACACAUGAUCCUGAUGAUCAGACGACUAGCACAGGUAUGAAUACAAAAGAUACAUUUAAAAAAAUAUAUAUUUCCCUCUCAGAAUUCAUAAAAUAAAGUGACAGAUUAUUAGCAUAAUUUACAUGAACAAGUGUAAAAAUUGAUCAGAAACAUACCUUUACUAACCGAAUAUGUGACUGUUAUCAAAAUUUUAAUCUCUCUAAAGCUUAUAUACACGUUUAAGAACACUCAAAGAAGCCCGAAACCUGAAUUGUCACCUAACUUAAAUGAUAAAUGUAUUACAUGAUUACAGUUAGUAGUAAUCUCUACAACCUGAAGAAACGCAAGCCUUUAUCAACAUUAUCUUGCCUAAAGGCAAGAAUCCCAAAUUUACAGAUCUAAAUUUCAGUCUGAGUCUAAGGUCAAGUAUUUAUUUCAUAAUAACGUAAGCUCUUUGGUAAGGGUGCUAGUCAGCUCUCAUAUAAUAUGUAUCAAGUAUAAGCAAAUUCAAUAGAUAUCAGCAUGCUGUAUUUGUUUAGGAUCCUAACUCCAUUUUACAGUAUUAAACCCAAAUCAACAGAUCCUUCACUACGGACAAAUAUCAGCUGAUUGAAUAAUCAACUAAAGGCCUGAAUCCAUUGUUGGGAGCAACAGAAAGAAAACUAUCAAAAUACACAAAGUAGCAAAUUCCACAUAUUCUAUCUAUUGGGAUGAUUUGGAGAACCAGGCUCAGGAAUUUCUCCCUGAUUUUUUUUUUCUUGUGAUGAUGAAAAGGAAAGCAAAGACCUAGCAGCAAAUGCAAAAUAAGAGCAGCGGAGUGUUGGGGGGAAGGAAAUGCUUUGAAGCUGGCUAUUCUUCGGAUCAUAGUGGUGACAACACAUGAUCCUGAUGAUCAGACGACUAGCACAGGUAUGAAUACAAAAGAUACAUUUAAAAAAAUAUAUAUUUCCCUCUCAGAAUUCAUAAAAUAAAGUGACAGAUUAUUAGCAUAAUUUACAUGAACAAGUGUAAAAAUUGAUCAGAAACAUACCUUUACUAACCGAAUAUGUGACUGUUAUGAAAAUUUUAUUCUCUCGAAAGCUUAUAUACACGUUUAAGAACACUCAAAGAAGCCCGAAACCUGAAUUGUCACCUAACUUAAAUGAUAAAUGUAUUACAUGAUUACAGUUGGUAGUAAUCUCUACAACCUGAAGAAACGCAAGCCUUUAUCAACAUUAUCUUGCCUAAAGGCAAGAAUCCCAAAUUUACAGAUCUAAAUUUCAGUCUGAGUCUAAGGUCAAGUAUUUAUUUCAUAAUAACGUAAGCUCUUUGGUAAGGGUGCUAGUCAGCUCUCAUAUAAUAUGUAUCAAGUAUAAGCAAAUUCAAUAGAUAUCAGCAUGCUGUAUAUGUUUAGGAUCCUAACUCCAUUUUACAGUAUUAAACCCAAAUCAACAGAUCCUACACUACGGACAAAUAUCAGCUGAUUGAAUAAUCAACUAAAGGCCUGAAUCCAUUGUUGGGAGCAGCAGAAAGAAAACUAUCAAAAUACACAAAGUAGCAAAUUCCACAUAUUCUAAUUCAUAAACAUAAGUGAAUAACGAGUGAUAUGGGCGGAAAAUGACAAGAAACGCAUAACAGGCAAUCACCUUUAGUCUUGAGAUUUCGAGUAUGAACAAUUAUUAAAGUGCAAUACUCCACAAUCAAGUAUCUGAUUAUUAACAAUCAGAUUUCGAGUAUUAACAAUUAUUGAAGCGCAGUACUCCACAACUAAGUAUUUGAUUAUCAACAAUAUUAUAUUGUUGAAUUUGCAGCAUUUCCAUGGUUUUCAGCUUUCAUGUGAACCAGUUUGGCACCUUGUGUGUCAAACAAGGUGCCACACUCACUGCAUUGAGUGGCCCCCUUCAGCUGCAGUUUGCGAUGCACAGCGCGGUUAUGUGCUUCCAUUCCAAAUUUGCUGACAAAGUUCUUCCUAUCGCAAUCAGUGUUAUAGCAAGUGAAUGCCAUCUGUCAAGUCAAAGUCAAAGUCAAAGUUAAUACUAGUUCAUGUAUAUUUAAGUUUGCGAUUUCAAAUUCGUAAUGAUCAAUAUUAUGAUCUACAAGCUUGCAAUUUCACAUUUAUGGAUAUGAACACUCCAGUAGCAACAGGAGACAGUACAAAUUAACAGUAAUAAUAGGAGAUAAAGAGCUAUGUAUCAACAUCAAAUCAUGAUCUGCAAGUGUCUACGAUUUGCAAUUUGUAAUUAAUGUAUUAACACUCCUAUAUAUUAGCAAUAACAAUCGAGACAUUUUUGUGAAAAUCACACCUGAGAUUCCAGAUUUGGGGCACGAGAUUCCAGAUUUGCUGACAAAGUUCUUCCUAUCGCAAUCAGUGUUAUAGCAAGUGAAUGCCAUCUGUCAAGUCAAAGUCAAAGUCAAUACUAGUUCAUGUAUAUUUAAGUUUGCAAUUUCAAAUUCGUAUGAUCAAUAUUAUGAUCUACAAGCUUGCAAUUUCACAUUUAUGGAUAUGAACACUCCAGUAGCAACAGGAGACAGUACAAAUUAACAGUAAUAAUAGGAGAUAAAGAGCUAUGUAUCAACAUCAAAUCAUGAUCUGCAAGUGUCUACGAUUUGCAAUUUGUAAUUAAUGUAUUAACACUCCUAUAUAUUAGCAAUAACAAUCGAGACAUUUUUGUGAAAAUCACACCUGAGAUUCCAGAUUUGGGGCACGAGAUUCCAGAUUUCGUAGCGCUUGCGAGAAAAUAGGAUCCUGAGUUUGUUUGAGGGUUGAAAUUGAAUCAAGGGUUUUUAAACUGUAAAAAGUAACUAUUUUACUAUUAUUAUAUAUUAUAUUAUAUAUUAUAUUCAUGAUUUUUCAAAAAAUGAAAUACCUUUUUAUAUUUAAUUCGAUGGUUGAUUUUUUUUUUUUUUAUAAUAAUACGAAAACUGAAAUUUAGUUAAGUUUCGGUGAUAUUUUGACUGAUGAAAGAAAUAUAAUAUUAAAGGAAUUAUUAUUUUUAUUGCUAGUAAUUAGUCGUGGCAGAAUUUUGAUAAUUGAGUUAAUUAUGUUAAUUAAUUGCCUAAUAUUAGGGUUUAUCCCAAACCGGUAGAAAUUAGGGUUAUAAUAUUUGGGGGUUUGGGGAAAUAGAUCGGAAAUAUUUGGGGGUUUGGGGAAUUGAGUGGGUUUGGUCGGAAGAGAGGUGAACGGUAACAAGGAGGAAGGCUCGCCAGUUACUAGAGAGAGAGAGGGGGGAGAAGGAUGGAGCGGGGAACAGCGGCGGUAACGCCGCCGGAGAGGGUGAUUCCGGCCGAUAGUCUGGGAGUUCAGCUCAAUAUAAGCUCCUCGAUUCAUAUAUUACUUUUGCAAAUAACAUUAGUAUGUGAUUUUUUUGAUUCAUGUAUUGCCAGACCACACUUGUAACUUCUCUAUCAUCAUUAUUACUUUUGCAAAUAACAUAGUUGACUUGCUUUUACAGAAACUGAUGGUGGUUUUUACCCAACCCAAUCAAAGGUAUGCGGAGUAAUUUACUUUCCUUUAAGUUACAUUUUUCUUCCUCCGAGCAUGAUGUAUGCUAGGAAUGUUUAUGUGUAUUUAUGUUUGUGUGUGUGGGCGGUUCAUGUUUAUAAGAGGAUCUUAGAAUAUUCAAGUAAAAUUUUAAGAUGCAUGUCACUUUCUCAGUAGGAAAAAUUACAUUACUGGCAUAAUUUGCUACAUGUUGGCUGUUUGCUUCAUCCCAAAAUUCCGUUAUUAAUUUUUGGAUGAAGCAUAUCCUCGAGGAAUAUAUUUUUAUUCAAUGCAUGAGUUUUUUUUGUUCAUGAUGGCGAUGAUUUCUUUGUUUUGUAGACUGGUUUAAGGCAUCACCAUCCUUAUACCAUUGCCUUAAAGAACUUUGGGAGCAAGAAUUCAGAGAAGGAAAGAGGUAUUUUUAUUGCUUCUAAUUACUUAAAGCUGCUUUAGUGUUAUUUUUGAAGUCACUCAUGAAUUAAUACAUCUUGGACUAAUCUUCAGAUGUACAUGUGGCAAUUUACAAAGAUGGGAAGAAACUGUCACUUCAGCAAAUGGAGAAACAAUAUCAAGAGUGGAUUCUCGACAUGCAUAAUAUAUAUGAUGAAGAAAGUGAUUGUGGUGAGGAUGAGCCUGUUAUCAUCAUUAAUCCCUCAAACAGGAAACAGCUGGGGAUUUCUUCAGAUGGUAAGUUGUAACUUCUAAGAUACAUGCCACUCUGGUGUAGCUAUAAUGUUGUCAGCAUUGGCUCACUACUCUUGUGGAAUUUAUUUAGGACUAGUAGUUUAGAAACGUUACACACCCUUUUUAUUCACUGUUUGGUAAACUUAGUGUUCUACUUUUAUAGUUUUGCUAAAAUUUAUAUGACAGUUGUCAGGGUUCAUAAAAUGAUAAGGAGGAAGGGUAAAUCCUGGCAGGCAGGACAGAAAAUUAAAGUUUUGAAAGGAGCGUGUUAAGGAUUUUACAAGAACAAUAUCUAUGCUGUGCUAGAAUACAUUCUUUUAGAUGGUUAUAAAGGUGAUGCAGGUGGUAAGAAAUUUUGGACACAUGCAUAUCCGCACGAUCUUGAAUUUUUACAGCCAGUAAUAAAUGGCAAAAACCUUCGCUCAUAAUUACUAAACUGAUCUGUUAGUAUUCGAAAGAGUUAAUUGUACAUUGUUUUACAUGUAUACUUAUGAUUAAUACUAUAGAUUAUUGAUAGAACUUAAAUCAUAUCAAUUUGAAGAAUCUGAACCCAUCUUUUCUCCUUUCUUCCCGUUCGUUCUGCAUGAAGGGGAGUCUCGUAUUAUCUGCAGGUAUCUGAUAUUCCCCAGAGGAUUCUCAUAUACCAAGUUUUGUUUAAUGUGCUUAUUUUUGUCUUUUUAUUAACUUUUGGCGCUCCUUUUUUUUUUUUCCUUUUUUUUUUUGUAUUAUUACUUAAACAUCAAAAAGGCAGAUAGGUACCUCAGAAGAAAAGGGAUGCCUUCUUAUAGAUAAUGAGAAUGGAAAUCCAAGUAUAGAUAUCCGUGAAUCCAAAUCCUUGCCCAUUAAUAUUAUUGAUUCUGGAAAGGUUGGACAAUUAAAUUCAUACAAGUCAUGUUACAUUGUGCUUAGUUUCUUAAAUAUGAAGUCCUACUGAUUCUAUAUAAUUGGGGGGAUUAAUUGAUUGAACUUAUUCACACUAGUGUCUUUUUGUUGAAUCUGCGGAGUGGAGUUUACAACUUGAAAAGCUGCAGCAUAAAAUUCCCUCCUCAAUCGAUAUACUCUGUGCCCGUCAUUGUGAAAAACUGGAAGUUGAAGAGGUUAGUCUCAUAGUCAUUGUGUUUUUAACGCAUAUAUGAUAUAAGAUUUGGAUAUACCUCUGCAAUGACAUUGGGACAUGAUCUUCAGCUUUGUUUCUUGCCAUAUCCUGUUUUACUAGUUGUAUACAGUUUCUACUGCAACAAUCACCUAUUUGUAAUAUGAUGCAUUCGUUGCCUUUCGAUACUCCUGUAUUUGCCGGUCAUGCUGCUCCUGAUGAAGUUAACGCAGUUGUACGCCCUGCCUCUUUUAAUUGUGCAUUGGUGUCUGAAAAUCUGGAUCAGAAGCAUAUUGCACCGACAGACCUUAAUACACAAAGUGCAAAACUUAGAUUCAGGUAAGUUAGUUUCCAUCGAUAGUAAUCCUGAAUAUUUUUUAUAUUUGGGCAAAUCUGUGAAUUUAAUUAAUAUUUUGUUCUUUCAGGGUUGGUUCUUGUUUCCCCUCAAUUUCGAUUGCAUGCUAUGAUAAGUUUGGAAACCGCACUUCAUUUUUUACAUAUCCCUAAAGUGAUUGCCAAAGUUUUAUCAAAAGAGAUUGUCCUGUUUCAAUCUGAAAAGUUAAAUCCAGAUAUUUCAUCCAAAAAUUCAGUUCUCACAGUAGAGGUAAUAUUCUUUUCACAACUUCUUGUCCACUUUUGGAGUUAGCUUCUAUCCGCUCUAACGUCGUUCACAAAUUAACCUGUAGAACUUACUGGUUGAAAGUCACAAUCUGGACUUCAUACGUCCAAGCUAUGAAGCUAAACUAAUUUUAUACUCAGAAGAUGAACCCUUCUGCGUAAUCAUUCCCUGCCAAGGUGUCUCUUUAAACCAAUGUUAUAUAACUUUUCAUAUAUUUCCUUGCUUAUAUUAUCGACCUUAAAAGUAAUUACUCAACUUCUCGGUGGAUCUAACUUUAUCAUUUUCAUCAGUUAUUCCAGGAUCAAUACACCAUCUUAUUGCUAAGCCAAAAGAUUUUAUGAAGCAGCUAGUUCCAGGAAAUGUUAUUCAAGAUCUUGAACUGGAGGUGAUAGAUAUAUUAAGACCACAAAUCAGUUUCCAUUUAUGAAAUGUUGUUCAUUAAUGACAUACAAUAUUUAUCAUCCUUUCCUAGAAUCCCACGUAUCAAGACUAUUUUAUCUCUUAAUAGUUAAUUCUAUCUUUUAGCGAAUUAUUUUUUCAUGUUCAGUAUUUAUUGUUUAUUUUUAUUUAUGGAGCAUUGUACUCAAUUUAUUUAUUUUACAUAUCUAAUAUGAAGUUUUCUGAUAGGUCUUCGAUGUAUAUGGUAAUCACGUAAAACAAGAUACGGAAAAGUUGUUGGAUAUGGUCGGGUUUUGUUUUCAACAUAAAACAAAGAGAAUACAGGUAGAGUCCUGCCACUGAUCUUUAUUGUUACUUUCUAGUUUGUUUACCUAUUCAUAUGAGAACUACUUAAAACAGUACUAGUAUUUGCCAAAAACUUGUUUGUACUUCCAUUAGUGACUGAACGUGAGUGCGAUUUUUUAUGGUUAUUGACAGUACUAGUACUAACAUGUUAUAUCGAUUAAAUGGGACACUAAGAUUGUUGUAUUAUAAUAAAACAAAAACGGACUUGGCAAGUGCAAGCUUGUGCUUUUCUUUACUGUUUUUGUUUUCUUUACUUCUAUUGUGUUCUAAAUUCUCUCGAGC